rnacentral:rRNA from 1 species
GACGAACGCUGGCGGCGUGCUUAACACAUGCAAGUCGAACGGAAAGGCCCUGCUUUUGUGGGGUGCUCGAGUGGCGAACGGGUGAGUAACACGUGAGUAACCUGCCCUUGACUUUGGGAUAACUUCAGGAAACUGGGGCUAAUACCGGAUAGGAGCUCCUGCUGCAUGGUGGGGGUUGGAAAGUUUCGGCGGUUGGGGAUGGACUCGCGGCUUAUCAGCUUGUUGGUGGGGUAGUGGCUUACCAAGGCUUUGACGGGUAGCCGGCCUGAGAGGGUGACCGGCCACAUUGGGCCUGAGAUACGGCCCAGACUCCUACGGGAGGCAGCAGUGGGGAAUAUUGCACAAUGGGCGGAAGCCUGAUGCAGAAACGCCGCGUGCGGGAUGACGGCCUUCGGGUUGUAAACAGCUUUCGCCUGUGACGAAGCGUGAGUGACGGUAAUGGGUAAAGAAGCACCGGCUAACUACGUG